rnacentral:rRNA from 1 species
GGGCCCGCACAAGCGGAGGAACAUGUGGUUUAAUUCGAUGAUACGCGAGGAACCUUACCCGGGAUUGAAAUGUACCUGACGAUCCGUGAGAGCGGAUUUCCAGCAAUGGCAGGUAUGUAGGUGCUGCAUGGUUGUCGUCAGCUCGUGCCGUGAGGUGUCGGCUUAAGUGCCAUAACGAGCGCAACCCUGAUUGUCAGUUGCUAGCAAGUAAAGUUGAGGACUCUGACGAGACUGCCGGCGUAAGCUGUGAGGAAGGUUGGGAUGACGUCAAAUCAGCACGGCCCUUACAUCCGGGGCGACACACGUGUUACAAUGGUGGGACAAAGGGCAGCUACCUGGCGACAGGAUGCUAAUCUACAAAGCCGUUCCCAGUUCGGAUUGGAGUCUGCAACUCGACUCCAUGAAGCCGGAUUCGCUAGUAAUCGCGCAUCAGCCAUGGCG